UACGGGGGGGGCAAGCGUUGUUCGGAAUUACUGGGCGUAAAGGGCGCGUAGGCGGGUGGACAAGUCUCUCGUGAAAGCCCACGGCUCAACCGUGGAAUUGCGGGAGAUACUGUCUGUCUUGAGUCCGGGAGAGGAGGGUGGAAUUCCCAGUGUAGCGGUGAAAUGCGUAGAUAUUGGGAGGAACACCGGUGGCGAAGGAGGCUCUCUGGACCGGUACUGACUAUGAGGCGCGAAAGCUAGGGGAGCAAACGGG
rnacentral:rRNA from 1 species